UCUAUUGCAACCUUUAUUCAGUUGUGAUAGCCAGCUGAGGUAAAGUCACCAGAGGCCAACCAUGGAGGGCAGAAGAGCACCCCGAAGCCUUCAAUAGGCACAGCUUCUGAGAUGUUUGAUAGGGCCUAUGUACAGGGCCACUUUUAUGCUUCUGAUUGCUUUUUUGGAUUUUUUUUCUGUGCCAUGCUACUGGGUGUUCUGUCCUCAAUUCCCUUGACACAAGGGAAGGAAGAAUUCCAUCCAGAAGCAGCCUUGUGUCAGCACUUGCUCCCAGAUUGUCAGAAAACAACUCCAGCAUCCUGCAACAAGGAACUACUUUGUAUUUCUAGCAUGAAAAACAAAAGUGCUGGAAAAUAGAAGCCUAUGGCCAGGAACAAACAAAAAAAAGGAGAUAUAUGGACAAGGAGAACUGGAAGGAAGAAUUCUGGAUAUUAGAGGCCCCCAGCACAUAUACAGCAGAGGACUUCUGGGUCUGCACUCAGUCAGAGAAGAUGCACCUAACCCUCAAGAGGCAGGAAGCCUCAGAGAGUGGGGAGGUCUGAUGGAGGAGGAGAUGGGGUUGCUCUGAAGAUAAGCAACAGCCACUUGGUGUGUUGCCCUAUGAAGAAACACACUCAUAAGCGAAGGAUGCUUCAAGCCAACAACUCUUAAGAAACAAAAGCCUAUAAAUAACCAGCUUUCAAAUGAUUCAAAAUAUUUCUCAGAAUAGUGGCUGCGUUCAAAUGUAUAAUCAAACAGCAGCAUGGCUUGACAUGCCAAUUAAUAGUUUUACUAAAGCUAAUGCCACAUGGAUUCAAGGGGUGUGGCCUGUCAGUUUUUCCAAAGACAAUGAUACCAUACCUCCCCAACCUAGAUGGGCUCCCUUUUGCAAGGGUAGCUCUGAUUCCCUUCUGCCAUGGACUGGGUGUCAGUCUAGAAAGGCAGCUUGGGCUGUAAAGAAAUAUUUUACCUUUUCUCCUUAUAUUGGCACAGUCCAUAAUGGCUCAUUUUCAGGAUAUAAUUGGACCUAUCAAAAUCCAGCUCAAGUAGGAGCUAGUAAUCCUUUUAAUGUGUGUUUGUUGUAUGGUGUGAAUGGUAGUUGCACAGAUCUUUCUCCUCUGAGUAUGCUAGUGGGAGGGGCAUGGGGUGAUGCAAGUUUUUAUUGGAAUGAGUCUAGUGGGUUUGAAACCUCUGUAUCUCAACUUGCUGGAGGGCGUAAUGCUUCCUUUAAGGCUACANNNNNNNNNAUAGUAUGUGCUGGAAUGCAUCUGAAUAUCAUUUAGCUGUUGUGACUAGGAUGCCUCGCUUUGUACCUUGGCCUGUCCAAGCUCUUUCUGCUAUGACUUUGUUCAGACCUAAGAGGGAAUUUUGGCAUUACUGUGGCCAUUGUCACUGCUAUAGCAAUUUCUGCCACCGUAGCCAUGGCUGCGGCCAUAUCCCUUACCUCUGUGAUACAAACUGCCGCGGCUGUGAAUAAUUUAUCCACGGGUGUUGCAGAAUCUUUGGAUGUUCAGGGAAAUAUUAAUAGCCAGCUGAAAGCAGGGAUUUUAUUGCUGAAUCAAAGGAUUGAUUUAGUCUAGGAACAAGUGGAUGUUUUGAUGGACCUAGCACAAUUGGGUUGUGAGUGGAAAUAUUCGGGAUUGUGUGUUACAACUAUACCAUUUGUGAAUGCCAGUCAUGCUGCUCACUUAUCUUGCAAUAUAUCCCAGUACAUUACAGGAAAUUGGUCUCAGCAUUUUGAUGGAUUGGUUCAGGAAUUGAGACAAUCCAUCGUCCAUAUUAACUCCACCCAUGUGGACGUGUCCAUGGCUGAAGUACUGGCCAGCUGGAUCUAUAGCUGUCUCCCGCUUGAAAGAGUGGGCCAGAAUUGGUGGACUUGCCUUGUGUCUGAUAUUAAUCAGCAUCCUGGCCUUUUGAUGCAUUUGCCGUAUACAGUUUCAUCAGUGCAGAACCCAAGCCUUGAUGAUACAGGCUUUUGCAGCAGUGGAGACAGGAUAGUCUCCUCAAGUGUGGCUUGGCAUGCUAAAGAAGUAGUCAAUGAUGCGUAAGACUCCCUGGGUGUGUCACCAACCUAAGACAGGGAUCAAACCAAAGCUGUUUGUCUCCCAAUGAUGGGUAAGGGGCAUUGCUUCAGGGGGCAACCUAAGACAGGCAUUCUCUCUGCCAAAAAAGAGAAAAGGGGUAGAUGUGGGGAGCGGGUGUGGCGGUAGUCCCAGGAUGGCACCUGGGACUGCAGCCAAGUCUUAUGACUUGCACCUGACUUCCUCAUACACCCGAAAAUAAGCCACGUCCAUCGUGAGAGCUACACAGGCACAACAUGAUGCAAGAUCAGGCCAUUUGACAAAGGCCAAUGAACUGAGAUUAUGUGGACUGGGCUGAUGGGGAAUGGUUGAGAGGUUAUAUAAGGGAUUGCGAUUGAGGGCUAGAGAGAGAUUCCUGCUUGCAUGUUGAAAGGUUCCUGAAUAAACUACUUUGAG
ensembl:lincRNA Gm20752 predicted gene, 20752